rnacentral:ribozyme from 1 species
GGCGUGGGCGUCGACAGAGCAGGCGCUCGAUGCCUUCAAGCGGGGCGAGUUCGUGAUGGUGAUGGACGACGCCGACCGCGAGGACGAG